AAUGCUGGGCACCCCCCGAGGCUCACCCUGCCAAGCCUGGGGCUCCCCUUUUGCGCCCGGACCCAGGGGCAGGGAAAGCCCAGCUCGUGGUCUGUGGGUAGCCGGACCCCCGAUGGGGCGGUGGGGGGCCUCGCCUUGACUCCCAGAGCUGGGGCCGGGGACAGGAGCUGGGGCAGGAGGGAUGCGCGCGGGUCGGGGUCUUCCCACCUCCCCUGCUCCUCUCCCUCGCGCGAUCCCGGGGUGGUUCCAGGGAAGGAACGUCCCAGGGAUGGAAGUGCUUGGAUGCGGUGCUGCUGGCUGCGGAUGUGCGCAAGGAGAUGGGAUGGAGAGCCUGAGUUGGCAUUCGUAUAAAUGACCUGCCUGGCUCCCACCAUGAGUGCUGAGCUUAACGUGCCUAUCGACCCCUCUGCUCCUGCCUGCCCUGAGCCCGGCCAUAAGGGCAUGGAUUACCGGGACUGGGUCC
rnacentral:lncRNA from 1 species